ensembl:miRNA Mir21 microRNA 21
UGUACCACCUUGUCGGGUAGCUUAUCAGACUGAUGUUGACUGUUGAAUCUCAUGGCAACAGCAGUCGAUGGGCUGUCUGACAUUUUGGUAUC